GACAGAGGGUGCAAACGUUGUUCGGAUUUAUUGGGCGUAAAGCGCGUGUAGGCGGCUUUGCAAGUCGGGUGUGAAAGCCCUCAGCUCAACUGAGGAAGUGCGCCCGAAACUGCAGAGCUUGAGUGCCGGAGAGGGUGGCGGAAUUCCCCAAGUAGAGGUGAAAUUCGUAGAUAUGGGGAGGAACACCGGUGGCGAAGGCGGCCACCUGGACGGCAACUGACGCUGAGACGCGAAAGCGUGGGGAGCAAACAGG
rnacentral:rRNA from 1 species